rnacentral:rRNA from 1 species
AUGGGUAUUUCCCGCAAGGGACCUCCUGCACAGGUGCUGCAUGGCUGUCGUCAGCUCGUGUCGUGAGAUGGUUGGGUUAAGUCCCGCAACGAGCGCAACCUCGCCUUUAGUUGCCAGCACGUUUGGGUGGGCACUCUAGAGGAACUGCCGGUGACAAGCCGGAGGAAGGUGGGGAUGACGUCAAGUCCUCAUGGCCCUUAUGUCCUGGGCUACACACGUGCUACAAUGGCGGUGACAGUGGGAAGCUAGAUGGUGACAUCGUGCCGAUCUCUAAAAGCCGUCUCAGUUCGGAUUGUACUCUGCAACUCGAGUGCAUGAAGGUGGAAUCGCUAGUAAUCGCGGAUCAGCAUGCCGCGGUGAAUACGUUCCCGGGCCUUGUACACACCGCCCGUCACACCAUGGGAGUUGGUUUGACCCGAAGCCGGUGAGCGAACCGCAAGGACGCAGCCGACCACGGUCGGGUCAGCGACUGGGGUGAAGUCGUAACAAGGUAGGCGUAGUGCU